CCUGCCCAAGAGAUCGGGAUAACACCUGGAAACAGAUGCUAAUACCGGAUAACAACAGAUGAUGCCUAUCAACUGUUUAAAAGAUGGUUCUGCUAUCACUCUUGGAUGGACCCGCGGUGCAUUAGCUAGUUGGUAGGGUAACGGCCUACCAAGGCGAUGAUGCAUAGCCGAGUUGAGAGACUGAUCGGCCACAUUGGGACUGAGACACGGCCCAAACUCCUACGGGAGGCAGCAGCC
rnacentral:rRNA from 1 species